rnacentral:rRNA from 1 species
AUUGAACGCUAGCGGGAUGCCUUACACAUGCAAGUCGAACGGCAGCACGGACUUCGGUCUGGUGGCGAGUGGCGAACGGGUGAGUAAUGUAUCGGAACGUGCCCAGUAGCGGGGGAUAACUACUCGAAAGAGUAGCUAAUACCGCAUACGCCCUACGGGGGAAAGGGGGGGAUCGCAAGACCUCUCACUAUUGGAACGGCCGAUAUCGGAUUAGCUAGUUGGUGGGGUAAAGGCCCACCAAGGCGACGAUCCAUAGCUGGUUUGAGAGGACGACCAGCCACACUGGGACUGAGACACGGCCCAGACUCCUACGGGAGGCAGCAGUGGGGAAUUUUGGACAAUGGGGGCAACCCUGAUCCAGCCAUCCCGCGUGUGCGAUGAAGGCCUUCGGGUUGUAAAGCACUUUUGGCAGGAAAGAAAUCGCAUGGGUUAAUACCCUGUGUGGAUGACGGUACCUGCAGAAUAAGCACCGGCUAACUACGUGCCAGCAGCCGCCGUAA